UCAAUCUCCUGGAUCUGUACCUCAAUAUCUCGAAUCAGCAGUUUCAUUUAAGGAGCUCCCAGUAACCUGGGAUACGACAUAUAACUGUAACAGAAUACCAUUCAGUUAGUUCUACAUGACUUCACUUUUAAAUGUAGUUUUGUCUGCUGGCACAAUCAGCAAAAGUAGAAGGUAUCUUGCCCAAGACAGAUGCUUGAACCUAAAGAAGAUCUUUCCAAUAUGACAGGGUUUAUGUUUAUCUGCAUAAAAUAAUCACCUAUGCAAAUGAAAAAUGAAGAUAGUGGUGCGAUAGCAGCAAAUUGGGAUCUACAUUAACUUCCAGAGCUUCUGUGCUUUGAAGCUAAAGGAGGAAUAUCCUAGGUGUAAUGGAUAUGGUGCUCCAGGUGCCUACUUCAGAGAAGAAAAAAUUACAGGUCACAGCAGUGCAUCUGCUGGCUGUCUGCUACCAUCAGUUCUGGAGGUGCUAGCAAUGGCAUUGUAAGGGUCUGUCAGAAACCUUAUCUGCAUGUCCGCUCCCAGGAGUGAGAAGCUGGAAUGAGCUCCUGAAGGACAAUUACACAAAUGACCCUUCUACCAGAUGAUGAUGACCCUGGUGCAAAUCACCUAAAUGAAACUGCAACAGUAAAAUAACACUAAAAUUAAACUCAGAAAAUGAGUUCCAAACCAAAAACAGAGUGGACAGGAGCUGAACAGCCCAGUACAGAAACAGAAAGUGGCUGCAACGAACCUCUUAACAGGCCAAGUUAUGUAUAAGGAUGUGCACUAUUUUCCUGCAAUGAACAACCCAGUCGUUUGCUUGGUUUAUUGUGGGCAACAGUUGAAUUGCAGACAACAGCUAGGUUAUUCUUUGAUAUAUAUAUAUAUAUAUAUAUAUGGGUGAAAGACAAAACAUGGUUCAUAAAUGCACCUGUGGGUCUAUGGAAACACGGCAGGAGUGCUUUAAUAAAUAUUUUAUACUAUUUAUUGAGAUGAUUGGUUUAAAAAAUGCUUUUGAGGACAACUAAUUUGAUAGCCAAAUAUUCGUUGGGUAUAUUUGUGAAGAGAAUUUGCCUUGUUCAAUUCCUGGAAGUACCUUUUUCCACAGUUAUCACAUGAGAGAGAGAAAGAUCUAUAAACACAUUGGGCAGAGCUUGAAGUUAAAAUCAAAAAACUACCAAAAAACCCUCCAACCAAAUAUUUUCCCCAGUGGGUUGGCCAAUACUUAUAUAUUCUGAUGCACUGUAAAUUUCAUGAAUAGAUGUUCAUGACAAAUGAAUUCACAUGUGACGUUAAAAGAUCAUGUAGUUAAUGCUUUUUUAACUUGUAUAUUAUAGUUUGUGCCCAGAGGCACAACACAGAUUAACAGUCACAGCUCCCGAAAGCCUAUAGUCUAAAAGUUUGCCUUGUUUUAUAAGAGAAGUUUAGUUUAUACACAUCCUUUUCCCUCAAAACUGAAAAUUAAAUCCAUUUUGGCUAUAAGAUCAUGCCCACAAUAAAAUGAGGUUUUCACUUUUCAUGUUCUGUAUUCUUUUCUCUCUUCAAAAGCUCUUCUAUUCUGUUGCUAAGAGAAAAAAUACUGUUGCCAAGUAACAAGAAACAGUGACCAGCACUACUAAUGUGUCCUCUAUCGCAUAUCAAAAGCAACCUCCCUAACUGUUCUCAAGGACACCAAGAGUGUGAGUUCUCUCAUACAGGAGGGAGGAAGAAGAGAGUUGACGUAUCUGAUUUAGUAAUGCUCAGUGGCAUUCCUAAGUACCUUAGCACCCAUCUAGUAAUCAUGAUUCCAGUCAUAUUGUGCAUGGCUAGUUUUGUUGCUUAAUGGCCACUCAGGACAAAACAUAACGUAAUAAGCAAAUAUUUCUUUACUUGAUAGUAUUGGAGUUAAGUAUUUUAUGUACUUUUCCCUUAUGCAUAAGACAUGCCAAGAAAAACUUCAAAAUCUACCAAUGUGAUAGAUGCCAUCAUGUGCCAGCAAUGCCCCUCUGCUGUGUACAUUGGCCAAACUGGACAGUCACUACGCAAAAGAGUAAAUGGACACAAAACUGACAUCAGGAAUCAUGGCAUUCAAAAAC